UUUCAGAUAACAGUAUUACAU
rnacentral:miRNA from 1 species